AAGAACAGGGAAAAUUAGAAGGGAGAUUUGGGGGUGAAUCAAAAAACAGGAGAGGGAAGGGACUUCGGAAAAGGAGAGGAAAAAGAGAAAAAGAGGAGCGGCAGACAAGAGGAGAAAAAGGUCCUCGGCUGGGCAACAAAAAGAAGAGCACCGAGAGGGGAGCCAAAGAAGAAAAGCCGAGAGAUAGCUGCGGGGAAACUAACAAGUGAAGGAAAAGGGGAGGCUACGGUGAGCAAAAUAGAGAAAAAGAAAAGGGGCAAAGAAAAAGGAAACAAGAAAAAAAGGGGCAGCAAAAAUCUGGGAAUCAAAAGAAAGGCUUUGGGGAUCUACGGAAAAACCGGAAAAAUGCUGAGCUAGAAGGAAAAGAGGGAGCUCGGGACGGAAGCUUCGGGCAAAAUGAGGAAGCGGGAGUGAGUGCUACGGCUGAAGAAAAACAGGGGAGGAGGAAAGGAAUCGCGGCUGGUCAUUAGCUCCAGAAUUCCCCGUCUCCAUUCGCGAGUCUUCA
rnacentral:lncRNA from 1 species